rnacentral:rRNA from 1 species
UACAGAGGGUGCAAGCGUUGUUCGGAAUUAUUGGGCGUAAAGCGCACGUAGGCGGAUCGUUAAGUCGGGGGUGAAAUCCUGGAGCUCAACUCCAGAACUGCCUUCGAUACUGGCGAUCUCGAGUCCGGAAGAGGUGAGUGGAACUCCUAGUGUAGAGGUGGAAUUCGUAGAUAUUAGGAAGAACACCAGUGGCGAAGGCGACUCACUGGUCCGGUACUGACGCUGAGGUGCGAAAGCGUGGGGAGCAAACAGG